UACGUAGGGUGCGAGCGUUGUCCGGAAUUACUGGGCGUAAAGAGCUCGUAGGUGGUUUGUCGCGUUGUCCGUGAAAACUCACAACUCAAUUGUGGGCGUGCGGGCGAUACGGGCAGACUGGAGUACUGCAGGGGAGACUGGAAUUCCUGGUGUAGCGGUGAAAUGCGCAGAUAUCAGGAGGAACACCGGUGGCGAAGGCGGGUCUCUGGGCAACAACUGACGCUGAGACGCGACAGCGUGGGGAGCAAACAGG
rnacentral:rRNA from 1 species